CCUACGGGUGGCAGCAGUGAGGAAUAUUGGUCAAUGGGCGGAAGCCUGAACCAGCCAAGUCGCGUGAGGGAAUAAGGCCCUACGGGUCGUAAACCUCUUUUGCCGGGGAGCAAGGGCGGGGACGUGUCCCGGCCCGGAGAGUACCCGGAGAAAAAGCAGCGGCGAACUCCGUGCCAGCAGCCGCGGUAAUACGGCGGAUGCGAGCGUUAUCCGGAUUUAUUGGGUUGAAAGGGUGCGUAGGGGGGCUUUUAAGUCAGCGGUAAAAAUUCGGGGCUCAACCCCGUCCGGCCGUUGAAACUGGGGGCCUUGAGUGGGCGAGCAGCAGGCGGACUGCGUUGUGUAGCGGU
rnacentral:rRNA from 1 species